ACUCCUACGGGAGGCAGCAGUGGGGAAUUUUCCGCAAUGGGCGAAAGCCUGACGGAGCAAUACCGCGUGAGGGAGGAAGGCUCUUGGGUUGUAAACCUCUUUUCUUAGGGAAGAAGCUCUGACGGUACCUAAGGAAUAAGCAUCGGCUAACUCCGUGCCAGCAGCCGCGGUAAUACGGAGGAUGCAAGCGUUAUCCGGAAUCAUUGGGCGUAAAGCGUCCGUAGGUGGCAGUUCAAGUCUGCUGUUAAAGGCUGGGGCUUAACCCCAGACAGGCAGUGGAAACUGAACAGCUAGAGUGUGGUAGGGGUAGAGGGAGUUCCCGGUGUAGCGGUGAAAUGCGUAGAUAUCGGGAAGAACACCGGUGGCGAAAGCGCUCUGCUGGACCACAACUGACACUGAGGGACGAAAGCUAGGGGAGCGAAUGGGAUUAGAUACCCCCAGUAGUCCUAGCCGUAAACGAUGGAUACUAGGUGUUGUGAGUAUCGACCCUCACAGUGCCGCAGCUAACGCGCUAAGUAUCCCGCCUGGGGAGUACGCACGCAAGUGUGAAACUCAAAGGAAUUGACGGGGGCCCGCACAAGCGGUGGAGUAUGUGGUUUAAUUCGAUGCAACGCGAAGAACCUUACCAGGACUUGACAUGUCCGGAAUCCUCUUGAAAGGGAGGAGUGCCUUCGGGAACCGGAACACAGGUGGUGCAUGGCUGUCGUCAGCUCGUGUCGUGAGAUGUUGGGUUAAGUCCCGCAACGAGCGCAACCCUCGUUUUUAGUUGCCAUCAUUAAGUUGGGCACUCUGAAGAGACUGCCGGUGACAAACCGGAGGAAGGUGGGGAUGACGUCAAGUCAGCAUGCCCCUUACGUCCUGGGCUACACACGUACUACAAUGCUACGGACAAAGGGCAGCAAGUACGCGAAUGCAAGCUAAUCCCAUAAACCGUGGCUCAGUUCAGAUCGCAGGCUGCAACUCGCCUGCGUGAAGGCGGAAUCGCUAGUAAUCGCAGGUCAGCAUACUGCGGUGAAUACGUUCCCGGGCCUUGUACACACCGCCCGU
rnacentral:rRNA from 1 species